rnacentral:rRNA from 1 species
GACGAACGCUGGCGGCGUGCUUAACACAUGCAAGUCGAACGGAAAGGCCCUGCUUUUGUGGGGUGCUCGAGUGGCGAACGGGUGAGUAACACGUGAGUAACCUGCCCUUGACUUUGGGAUAACUUCAGGAAACUGGGGCUAAUACCGGAUAGGAGCUCCUGCUGCAUGGUGGGGGUUGGAAAGUUUCGGCGGUUGGGGAUGGACUCGCGGCUUAUCAGCUUGUUGGUGGGGUAGUGGCUUACCAAGGCUUUGACGGGUAGCCGGCCUGAGAGGGUGACCAGCGACAUGGGGACUAAGAUAGGGACCAGACGCCAACGGGAUGCAGCAGGGGGGAGUAUGGCAGAAUGGGCGGAAGCGUGAUACAGCAACGCCGGGAGCGGGAUGCCGGCCUUCGGGUUGUAAACAGAUGUCGACUGUGACGCAGCGUGAGUGACGGUAAUGGGUAAAGAAGCACCGGCUAACUACGUG